CCUACGGUGGGGCAGCAGUGGGGAAUAUUGGACAAUGGGCGAAAGCCUGAUCCAGCCAUGCCGCGUGUGUGAAGAAGGCCUUCGGGUUGUAAAGCACUUUCAGUGGGGAAGAAAGCCUUGGGGCUAAUACCCUCGAGGAAGGACAUCACCCACAGAAGAAGCACCGGCUAACUCCGUGCCAGCAGCCGCGGUAAUACGGAGGGUGCGAGCGUUAAUCGGAAUUACUGGGCGUAAAGCGCGCGUAGGCGGUCUGAUAAGCCGGUUGUGAAAGCCCCGGGCUCAACCUGGGAACGGCAUCCGGAACUGUCAGGCUAGAGUGCAGGAGAGGAAGGUAGAAUUCCCGGUGUAGCGGUGAAAUGCGUAGAGAUCGGGAGGAAUACCAGUGGCGAAGGCGGCCUUCUGGACUGACACUGACGCUGAGGUGCGAAAGCGUGGGUAGCAAACAGGAUUAGAUACCCUAGUAGUC
rnacentral:rRNA from 1 species